rnacentral:rRNA from 2 species
UGACGCUGGCGGCGGCCUACACAUGCAAGUCGAGCGGAUGAGUGGAGCUUGCUCCAUGAUUCAGCGGCGGACGGGUGAGUAAUGCCUAGGAAUCUGCCUGGUAGUGGGGGACAACGUUUCGAAAGGAACGCUAAUACCGCAUACGUCCUACGGGAGAAAGUGGGGGAUCUUCGGACCUCACGCUAUCAGAUGAGCCUAGGUCGGAUUAGCUAGUUGGUGAGGUAAAGGCUCACCAAGGCGACGAUCCGUAACUGGUCUGAGAGGAUGAUCAGUCACACUGGAACUGAGACACGGUCCAGACUCCUACGGGAGGCAGCAGUGGGGAAUAUUGGACAAUGGGCGAAAGCCUGAUCCAGCCAUGCCGCGUGUGUGAAGAAGGUCUUCGGAUUGUAAAGCACUUUAAGUUGGGAGGAAGGGCAGUAAGUUAAUACCUUGCUGUUUUGACGUUACCAACAGAAUAAGCACCGGCUAACUUCGUGCCAGCAGCCGCGGUAAUACGAAGGGUGCAAGCGUUAAUCGGAAUUACUGGGCGUAAAGCGCGCGUAGGUGGUUCGUUAAGUUGGAUGUGAAAGCCCCGGGCUC